ensembl:lncRNA mucin-2-like
AGGGACAACCUGUUAUUUCUUCAGUAUGGUGACUGACUGAUCUAAGGGCACAAGUUCUUCUGGAAAUUAGUGGUAAGAAAUAAAAGGUACAACAUUAAAUGAAAAUGAAUACGGUGUUCAAUGUAGUGCUGAUAUAUAUUACAGUUUUCGCCUGGGCACGUGCAGGGGAUAUGACAACUCCUACAAAUAUUACAAAUAGAGAGACCACAGCAAGUAGUUCAACAUCUGAGUCUAUAACUACAAGACCUUCUCAACCCAGUGCUUCAACUGAAAUUGGAACAACAAUUUUAGCAACAGCAUCCAGUACUACAGCUGAAGGAAGUACUACACUAUCCGUGGCACAUACUACUUCAAUGACCACAUCUGUACCUCCAGGAACUACAACAGAACAUUUUACAAUAAGCACAGAUGGAAAGGGGACUGAUCUUUCCUCAAGAACUGUACCAACAGCAUUUAGUAUUUCAACAUCUGAGCCUGUUUCUGCAAUACAAUUGCAAACAGACCCUUCUACUAGAUCUUCAACAAAGGUUUCUCUUACAGCACCCAGUACAACAGCUGGAGAAAGUACUACCGUAUCCCCCAUAGAUGAAAUUACAACGCCUAUAUUUUCCCCUCCAGCAACUACAGAACGCUUUACAACAACCUUUGAGGGCACAAGUGGUUCUGCAACUGCUGUUCCAACAGUGUUAAGCACAUCUAAGUCAGUGGCUAUAACACCUUCUCAAACAGGACAUACUACUACAGUUUCACCAACAUUUACCCCAAUAGCAUUCAGUACAACAGCUGACGGAAGUACUAAAGUGUCUCUGGUAAAUACAACUGCAGCAAUCUCACCUGCCUCUUCAACAACUACAAAAGAACCUUUCACAAUAACCACAGAAGACCCAACUGGUUCUCUAACCACAUCUAUUGGUUCAACAUCUGAGUCUGUAACUACAACAGCUUCUCAAACCAGCAAUUUAACUGGAAUUGCAAUAACUUCACCAACAGCAUCCAGUACUACAGCUGAAGGUGGUUCUACUGUAUCACUGGUACAUACUACUAAAGUGACUUCAUCUGCGCUCCCAGCAUUUACAACAGAACCAUCCACAACAAGCUUAGAGGGCACAAACAUUACUGUACCAACACCAUCAAGUACUUCAAGAUCUGUGAAUACAACACAUUUUCAACCAGGCCCUACUACUAUUAUUUCACCAACAACUUUUCCAAUGACGUCCAGUAUGGCAGUGUCACUGAUACAUUCCACUAUAUUGAUUGAAUCUUCACCUCCAGCAACAAUAACAGAAUCUACCUCUGAGUCUAAACCUACUACACCUUCUCAAACAAGCUCUUUGAUUGGAAUUGCAACAACAAUUUUACCAACAGCAUCCAGUACUACAGCUCAAGGAAGUACUCUAGCUCAAGGAAGUGCUCAUACGACUACAACAGAACCUCCCACAAGCCCAGAGGGCACAGGUGCUUCUUCAGCUAUUACACACACAUCAUCAAGUACAUCAACAUCUGAGCCUGUGCCUACAACACACUUUCAAACUGGACCUACUACUUCAAUUUCACCAACAAUUUAUCCAACAGCAUCCAGUACUACUGUAUCAUUGGUACAUUCCACAACAGUGAUUGAAUCUUCACCUCCAGCAACAACCAGAGAACCUUCCAUAAAGAGCCUAGAGAGCACAACAUUUGAGGCUGUAACUACAACUUCUCAAAGCAUCUAUUUGACUAAAAUUCCAACAAUAAUUUUACCAACAGCAUCCAGCACUAGAGCUGAAGAAAGUACAGUAUCACUCUCACAUACUACCACAAUGACUGCAUCUUCACCUCCAGUUACUUCAACAGAACCUUUCACAACAAGCCUAGAAAGCAGAAGUGUUUCUAAAAUUGAUUCUAGCAGUACCACAUCUGAGUCUAUAACUACAACAGCUUCUGAAACCAGGGCGUUUACGGGAAUUGCAGCAACCUCACCUACAGCAUCUAGUACUACAGCUGAAGGCAGUACUACAGAAUCAAGUCUACAUACAACUACAAUGAUUGCAUCUCCUCAUUCAGCAGAAUCUUUCACAACAAACUCGGAGACUGCAAGUGUUCCUCUUUCUCAAACAGGCCCUACUACUACAAUUCCACCAGUAGUUUCUCCAAAAGCAUCCAGUUCUACAGCUGAAGGAAGUACUACACCAUCACUGGCACAUACUACUGCAGUGACCACAUCUCCGUCUCAGGCACCAACAACAGAACCUAUUAUGACAGGCCGAGAGGGAACAAGUGGUGCUUUUUUACCAAUUUCGUCAACUACUUCAACAUUUGAGCCUGUGACUACAACACAUUCCUCAACAGGCCCUACAUCUGGAAUUGCAACAACCGUUUCUCCAACAGCAUUUAGUACAACAGCUGAAGAACAUAGAACAGUAACCCUGGUAGAUACAACUACCACAGCAAUCCCCUCAAUAUCUACAAGAGAGCCAUCCACAACAGGCCAAGAAGGCAAAAGUGUUUCUUCAGCUAUUGUACCAACAGUAUCAAGUACUUCGACAUCUGAGCCUGUGCCUACAACACCUUCUCAUACAGGUCCUACUAGUACAAUCCCACCAGUAGUUUCCGGUUCAACUACAAAAACAACCUCUGUCCUUCCAACAGCCACAAUCCUUUUAGGUCCUAAAACCACCACAUUUUCUGACACCACAACAACUGUCCCAUAUCUCCCAGCCACUUCAACUGAAGGCUACAUAGUUCUUACCUUCAGAAUUAAUCAAGCCUUUCAAAAUGACUAUUAUGAUUCAUCAACAUCAGCCUACCAGUUAUUAGCAAGCAAUAUCACAACUGAGCUGAAUAGAGAAU